GGCGGCACGCCUAACACAUGCAAGUCGAACGGAGUUAUUGAAGCUUGCUUGAUAAACUUAGUGGCGGACGGGUGAGUAACACGUGAGCAACCUGCCUUCAGAGAGGGAUAGCUUCUGGAAACGGAUGGUAAUACCUCAUAACAUAUUGAUACGGCAUCGUAUUGAUAUCAAAGAUUUAUCGCUGAAAGAUGGGCUCGCGUCUGAUUAGCUGGUUGGUGAGGUAACGGCCCACCAAGGCAACGAUCAGUAGCCGGACUGAGAGGUUGAACGGCCACAUUGGGACUGAGACACGGCCCAGACUCCUACGGGAGGCAGCAGUGGGGAAUAUUGCACAAUGGGCGCAAGCCCUGAUGCAGCGAUGCCGCGUGAGGGAAGAAGGUUUUCGGAUUGUAAACCUCUGUCAUCGGGGACGAAAAUGACGGUACCCGAGAAGGAAGCUCCGGCUAACUACGUGCCAGCCGCCGC
rnacentral:rRNA from 1 species